rnacentral:rRNA from 1 species
UACGUAGGGUGCAAGCGUUGUCCGGAAUUAUUGGGCGUAAAGAGCUCGUAGGCGGUUUGUCGCGUCUGCUGUGAAAACUCGGGGCUUAACUCCGGGCCUGCAGUGGGUACGGGCAGACUAGAGUGCGGUAGGGGAGACUGGAAUUCCUGGUGUAGCGGUGAAAUGCGCAGAUAUCAGAAGGAACACCGGUGGCGAAGGCGGGUCUCUGGGCCGUAACUGACGCUGAGGAGCGAAAGCGUGGGGAGCGAACAGG